ACACUCCUACGGGAGGCAGCAGUGGGGAAUUUUGGACAAUGGGCGCAAGCCUGAUCCAGCCAUGCCGCGUGCGGGAAGAAGGCCUUCGGGUUGUAAACCGCUUUUGUCAGGGAAGAAAAGGUUCUGGCUAAUACCUGGGACUCAUGACGGUACCUGAAGAAUAAGCACCGGCUAACUACGUGCCAGCAGCCGCGGUAAUACGUAGGGUGCAAGCGUUAAUCGGAAUUACUGGGCGUAAAGCGUGCGCAGGCGGUUAUGCAAGACAGAGGUGAAAUCCCCGGGCUCAACCUGGGAACUGCCUUUGUGACUGCAUGGCUAGAGUACGGUAGAGGGGGAUGGAAUUCCGCGUGUAGCAGUGAAAUGCGUAGAUAUGCGGAGGAACACCGAUGGCGAAGGCAAUCCCCUGGACCUGUACUGACGCUCAUGCACGAAAGCGUGGGGAGCAAACAGGAUUAGAAACCCCUGUAGUCCCAUGAU
rnacentral:rRNA from 1 species